GAAUCCGAAGGAUGAGUUUGUUUAAAAAUGUUAAUGAGUAAGACACAUGGUAUAUAAAAUUUGUAAUAUAAAUAAAAUGAUUGACAGCUUCAAGACCUUGAACUAAUAUUGGAAAUUAUCCACGUUACAAUUUUAUCCAAUGAAAUGGAAAGUCGCGCAAUCACUUUUGCGCCUCGUGUAUGAUCUUCUGUGUAUUUCAUGUAAUAGAACCCCAGAAUUUGCAGAGAGUAAAGAAAAUGUCGGUUUUUCUCCGACUUUUAAGUUUUGCGUCCCGUGUAUGUUCGUAUGCGCAUGUAAUUUCAUAAUGUCAUCAG
rnacentral:lncRNA from 1 species